UAGUAUUGCUAAUGCAAUACUCUCAAAAUGCUUGUUUAAUCUUAAUUAUAGUAGGUAUUUAAGUAUGCAAGUACAAUACUGUACAUAUAAAUGCUUGUUCAAAAUAAAGUUUUUCUCGUAAUUUCAGCCCAAUGCAACAGAAACUAAAAAUUCAAGAACCUAUUGUGAAAUGGUAAAAAAGAAACUGCUAGCGCUACUGUGCAGACUACCAUCAAUCAACAUGAUCAACAAAAUCAAGUAAUCCUUCUGAAGAUGGAGUAGUACACAAGCACAAUUUUUUAAAGAAAGAAAAGUCAAUGGAAUGAAAGCCAAAGAAAAGGUGAAGUGAAUUGUCACUCAUUAUAUUUUAAAUUUAAUGUGGACAUGGUCAUUAUUUUAGUUAUGUCAUAACCUUCUUAUCAAUUUUAAGCAGUGCAGACAGAUGCAUUUCUUAUUGCUUUGAAUAGAAUAAAUUAUCAAAAAAGUUUGUAUAUGUUUUUUGAUAUAGAAUUUAUAUUAAAAAAAAAUUAUCAAUUACUGCAGUUUUGAAUUUCAGUACACUAGAAAUUUUUCUGCCCUGCCAUGAAUAUGGCUGGGGCAUAUAGAGUUUGUCAUGUCCGUCUUCCUUCCUUUCAACCUUCUGUCUGUCCUUCCAUUCCACUUUGCUUUUAGCUCAGUUCAAAACUAAGUUUCAAAGAAACUAUUCAAGAUAUUUUUAUCAAUCUUCAUAUGCUGAUACAUAUUGAUAAGAGGUAUUCAAUUUCAUCAAGGUACCUUGACCUUUCCUUUAACUUUGACCUCACUUUU